rnacentral:rRNA from 1 species
GAUGAACGCUGGCGGCGUGCCUAAUACAUGCAAGUCGAGCGAACAGAUGAGGAGCUUGCUCCUCUGACGUUAGCGGCGGACGGGUGAGUAACACGUGGAUAACCUACCUAUAAGACUGGGAUAACUUCGGGAAACCGGAGCUAAUACCGGAUAAUAUAUUGAACCGCAUGGUUCAAUAGUGAAAGACGGUUUUGCUGUCACUUAUAGAUGGAUCCGCGCCGCAUUAGCUAGUUGGUAAGGUAACGGCUUACCAAGGCAACGAUGCGUAGCCGACCUGAGAGGGUGAUCGGCCACACUGGAACGGGGACACGGUCCAGACUCCUACGGGAGGCAGCAGUAGGGAAUCUGCCGCAAUGGGCGAAAGCCUGACGGAGCAACGCCGCGUGAGUGAUGAAGGUCUUCGGAUCGUAAAACUCUGUUAUUAGGGAAGAACAAAUGUGUAAGUAACUAUGCACGUCUUGACGGUACCUAAUCAGAAAGCCACGGCUAACUACGUG